rnacentral:tRNA from 1 species
GCAGUCGUGGCCGAGUGGUGGAGGCGAUGGACUAGAAAUCCAUUGGGGUCUCCCCGCACAGGUUCGAAUCCUGUCGACUGCG